UUACCGAGUUUACAACUCCCAAACCCCUGUGAACAUACCUUUAUGUUGCCUCGGCGGAUCAGCCCGCGCCCCGUAAAACGGGACGGCCCGCCGCAGGAAACCCUAAACUCUGUUUUUAGUGGAACUUCUGAGUAUAAAAAACAAAUAAAUCAAAACUUUCAACAACGGAUCUCUUGGUUCUGGCAUCGAUGAAGAACGCAGCAAAAUGCGAUAAGUAAUGUGAAUUGCAGAAUUCAGUGAAUCAUCGAAUCUUUGAACGCACAUUGCGCCCGCCAGUAUUCUGGCGGGCAUGCCUGUUCGAGCGUCAUUUCAACCCUCAAGCCCAGCUUGGUGUUGGGAUCUGUUUGUCACAAAACAGUCCUCAAAUUGAUUGGCGGUCACGUCGAGCUUCCAUAGCGUAGUAAUUUACACAUCGUUACUGGUAAUCGUCGCGGCCACGCCGUUAAACCCCAACUUCUGAAUGUUGACCUCGGAUCAGGUAGGAAUACCCGCUGAACUUAAGCAUAUCAAUAAGCGGAGGAAAAGAAACCAACAGGGAUUGCCCUAGUAACGGCGAGUGAAGCGGCAACAGCUCAAAUUUGAAAUCUGGCUUUCGGGCCCGAGUUGUAAUUUGUAGAGGAUGACUUUGAUGCGGUGCCUUCCGAGUUCCCUGGAACGGGACGCCAUAGAGGGUGAGAGCCCCGUCUGGUUGGAUGCCAAAUCUCUGUAAGUCUCCUUCGACGAGUCGAGUAGUUUGGGAAUGCUGCUCUAAAUGGGAGGUAUAUGUCUUCUAAAGCUAAAUACCGGCCAGAGACCGAUAGCGCACAAGUAGAGUGAUCGAAAGAUGAAAAGCACUUUGAAAAGAGAGUUAAAAAGUACGUGAAAUUGUUGAAAGGGAAGCGUUUAUGACCAGACUUGGGCUUGGUUAAUCAUCUGGGGUUCUCCCCAGUGCACUUUUCCAGUCCAGGCCAGCAUCAGUUUUCGCCGGGGGAUAAAGGCUUCGGGAAUGUGGCUCCCCUCGGGGAGUGUUAUAGCCCGUUGUGUAAUACCCUGGCGGGGACUGAGGUUCGCGCU
rnacentral:rRNA from 1 species